rnacentral:tRNA from 1 species
UAACUCAAUUGGUAGAGUAUAAUCUUGCCAAGAUUAAGGUUGCGGGUUCAAAUCCCGU